rnacentral:rRNA from 1 species
GAUGAACGCUGGCGGCGUGCCUAAUACAUGCAAGUCGAGCGGACGGACGCGACGCUUGCUUCUCUGAUGUUAGCGGCGGACGGGUGAGUAACACGUGGAUCACCUACCUAUAAGACUGGGAUAACUUCGGGACACCGGCGCUAAUCCCGUAUAAUAUUUUGCACCGCAUGGUUCAAAAGUGAAAUACGGUCUUGCUGUCACUUAUAGCUGCAUCCGCGCUGCAUUAGCUAGUUGUUAAGUUAACGGCUUACCAAGGCAACGAUGCAUAGCCGACCUGAGAGGGGGAUCGGCCACACGGGAACUGAGACACGGUCCUGACUCCUACGGGAGGCAGCAGUAGGGAAUCGUCCGCAAAGGGCGAAAGCCUGACGGAGCAACGCCGCGUGAGUGAUGAAGGUCUUCGGAUCGUAAAACUCUGUUAUUAGGGAAGAACAUAUGUGUAAGUAACUGUGCACAUCUUGACGGUACCUAAUCAGAAAGCCACGGCUAACUACGUG